ACCUUUUUUUUGCCUUCCAUAGGUUCUGUUACCCCCUCAAUGAUUCAAAAUAUUGCAGACAUGAGAUGGCAUUAGAUGCAAAUGGGAGGAGACUCUUGGUAACAUCCAGUUCAUUUAGAGCACCCAUAUACCAGGUUCAUGGUCAUUUGAGUGGAUGGAGAACACUUCCGCACGGUGCUCCUAUUACUGCUGUGGAUUGGCAUCCGACCCUGCCCAUUUUCUUGACUGGAUCAGCUGAUAACUCUGUCCGAGUAACAUCUUUAUCAUAGCACCACGUUGUAACUUGGGAGUUUUUCAUCAUUUUUUCUUGUGACUUCAUUGGAUUUUAUGUUGUAGUAUACUCUCUCUCUCUAGAUUGACUGAUUGAUAGAUAAAAGUUACCAACUGAUCUUAUACUGUCAGUAUGUUUUUGAGUCUGCAGGAAGGAUAUACGUAUUUAUGCAAUGGGCUUGGAUGUCUAAUUUAUA